GCCUGACCAAUGCCACAAAGAAGGGAAGGAGCACCUCCCUGGAGAUGCUUGUGAUGCAUCUGUAGAUGCAUGACAAGGUGCGGUUAGCCUUACUGACCGCUUCCUUGCAUUGGCAGCUCAUGUUCAUCCUGGAGUCAACAAUGACUCCAAGAUCCCUCUCUGCCACUGUGUUGACAAGAAGGGUGUUUCUCAUCCUAUAGGUGUGUUGCUGGUUCCUUCUCCCUAGAUGCACUUGUCUGUGUUGAAUUCCAUCCUAGUUUCACCCGCCCACCUCUGUAACCUGUCUAGAUCUACCUGGAUUCUGUCCCUCUCCUCCAAUGUGCCCACCCCACCCCACAACUUGGUGUCAUCAGCAAAUUUGGACAGUGUGCAUUCCACACCCAUAUCCAGAUUGCUGAUAAAGAUGUUGAACAGUACAGGCCCGAGAACUGAGCCCUGGGGAGCUCUACUGCCCACAUCCCUCCUGGUUGAAAAUGACCCGUCCACCACCACUCUCUGGGUGUGACCAUCUAGCCAAUCUGCCACCCAUCUGACUGUAGUCAUCAAUGCCACAGUCACCAAGUUUUUUUUUUUGUUUGUUUGUUUUGUUUUUUUUGUUUUUAAGAGAAUGUGGUGGGAAAUCAUGUCAAAGGCCUUCUGAAAGUCCAGGAAGAUGACAUCCAUCCUGACACCCUCAUCCAGGGACUUUGUGACUUGAUCAUUAAAAGAAACCAGAGAUGCCUUCAAAGUGUUCUUAUCUUCAUUGAUGCCCUGAUUGGUCUGUCUACCUUUCAAAGCUGAACCACAGAUUGCCUUGAAAUCUCUGCCUUUAACUUUCAGAGAUGCCUUUGAAGUGUUUAUUAAUGCCCUGAAUGCCCAUCUACCUUUCAAAGCCGAACCAUGGAUUGCAAUGAAAUCUCCACCUUUAACUUGCAGCUACCAUGGCUGAUGCCAGCUAGGGACAUGCCUCUGAACCUCAGACACCAGCUCACACUGGAGCAGAGCAUUCAUUAAAUUAUCACUGCAAGCAGCAAUACUCCAAAAAGAGCAUAAUGGAGGCUUUGGCUGAGGUGGCACAAACCCGAGUGGCAGCUGCAGAUGGCUGGCAGGACAAAGACUGGGAGGCACUCAGGUCUGAUGAGGACUAGUAGAAGCGAAGCAUGGACAACAUGAACAAAUUCUGCAAACAGCUUCUAGACCUCACAGGGCAUUUUCUUGACCUGGCCACACAGUGCCAUGUCAAUGUGCAGAUGAUACAAGACUUGAUUAAGGAUGUCCUGCAGCACAUGAAAAAAUGCAGCAUCCAUAAAUGGGUGUCACCCAAAAUAGGGCACAGUAGCUCUUCUUGGCUUGCCUCUAUGCAGGAGGUUGCCAAGAACAUUACAUCUGAGCCUGUUCCCUGAAGUGCAGUGUAGUUAGUUAGCCAAGGGGUGCAUAAGUGCCAAAAGGGCCAGGCAGGCACCACUGCAAUUCAGGGAGCAAGGGGUGGUGCAGCUGUGGGGGAGCACAAAAGGAAAAGAAGUCCAAAUAUCCCACUGUACAAUAUUCUGCUUCUAUUAUUUGUGUGUGCACACCUUAUAAAUCUCUCAGGUGCA